rnacentral:misc_RNA from 1 species
UCGCUCUGCGGUCGGCGGAGCUCACGACCACCC